rnacentral:lncRNA from 1 species
AGCAAGAUUGUUUGGAAUAACAGUUUGUUAUUUUUUGUGUUGGAUAGAAAUUGUGUAUUUUGAGCGAUCUUUUGAGAGUGAAGGAUUGCACAUUGUUGUUGUUAUUAGUUGAUGAAGAAAUAUAGUUAGUAGAAAAAAAUAUUAUAGUGUUCUUUGGUGUUUUUAGUGGUUUGGAAUAUGGUUGAUUGUGUAACCCUAAUGUGUGAGCUCAUGCGGAUAGUCUUUCCUUGCGUUCAAAUCUCCAUCUAUAGAUUUAU